CACCCUCUCCGGGGCCGACCAGCUCGGGCCGCUGGCACAGUCACGCGCGUCCACACAUCACCCCCGCACCCACACGCCGGGCAGGGUCCUCGCCUCUUCGCCCCGCGCCGCGCCGCGCAGCCAAGCAUCGUCUGCCCUGUGGGGGCGCAGUUGGAUCUGCCUCCUGGGGAAGUAACAGCCGGGAUGCCCUUCCAGGUGACCUUCGUUUGGAGAUUGGGUGUGCUCCAGCUCCUGGACUUUUUAAAAUUCCUGGAAUUGUGUCUCUCUAUCAUGGGGCUGGUACUAUUACCAUACGUUUCAGAAAACAGCAUCUGUUUACAAAGCGUUUUAUUAUACAACACAGAAAUACAUUUCACCCCAAAUGAUAACAGUGAACUUCAGCCCCCAGAAUCUCCUUCUCCCCUUCGUGAAACAGAGCUGGGAUGAUGGCAGAGGACUCCAGAACGCACUGAGAUUGUUCCUUGGCGUGACAAAUGGCAAAGGACUCUAGAACGCACAGAGAUUGUUCCUUGGUGUGACGGGCCAGACAGCACACCUUUCUUCAAGCCAUUCUCACAUCAAAUAAAACGUUGAUAAAUCAUUGUUUCUCUAAGCUUGAAAAAUGCUACUAACUCAAGACAAGGUGAAAGUGAGUUUGUUGAAAUCAACGUGAAGGAUCGAGGGUACCAACUUGGAAUGUAAAACCAUAGAAAAUACCAUCUGGGAACACGGAAAUCAUCUGUCUUAUCUGGAAGCCUGUCUCCAGAGUGGCAAACUUAGGGACUGGUUUGAGGACAGAGUGUGCCCUGUGUGCUGGGGAGGGGUGUAAAGGACUGGGAUGGAGGAGGGGGGGCUCCAGAUGUUCUUUUACCCAUAAAUACACUGUACAUCACCGUCUGCCACUGAAGCUUAAGGAUUGAAAACCUUGGGGAUGUUUCACUGGUUUUGCUUCCGCCUCUGCAAUGUUUGAACUUGCAUUUUCUGAGCCACGUAUGCAACUAAAAGCCUUACAUGCAUUACCCACCCUUCACCUCUCUUACUAGUCCUAUUUACAGGUGAGAAAACUGAGGCACAAGGAGUUUUGCUGAUUCGGGAUUGUUACGGGUUUUAGGUUUUGUUUUCCUCCUGACAGCUCCUGGACUUUUUAAAAUUCCUGUAAUUGUGUCUCCCAAUCAUGGGCCAGGAAUAUGAGAAUCAGCUGUGAACUUCGAGCCUGUCCAUCUCAAAACUCUUCAUCUCCAAGACAUUUCAAUAGAGCUUUGCCAGUAAACAAAAAUAAAUACGGUUCGGUUUACCCAGAGGCCAAAUCCCUUGUAAUAAGUUCUGGGCCAGUUUCUUCCCAGAGCGGGAGAAUAUACAGUUGUAGUUUGAGUUGAUUUUAUUUCUUUGAGGCUUUGUUUUUCUAGUCUUUCAGGCCUUAACCUCACUCCCUCAGGAACAGCUGAAAUAUGAGAAGAGAUCAUAUGGCCCCCAAAAAGUCCCCAGAUUAACCAAGAUUGAUGCCACCCAGGGCCCAGUUGGGGUCAACACCCUGUGUCAGGUGCGCUCUCUGUAUAAUUCCUGUUUCCUGUGAGAAGAGCAUUAAAGGCCCGUUAAUGUUUUAAAAUGAAAUGCAACCUCUUAAUAAUCAGGUUUCUCCACUCUGCUAGGAUUCCAAAAAAAAAAAUCAGCAACUGACAAAUGUUAAAAAUUUCCUCGCUGCUAAUCAUGCUUUCCCCCGCUUCCCUUUCUUUCCCCCUCUCUUCUAACAUGAAUUUAUUUUCUAUUUGAAAGCCAAUCUCACUGGUUAUUAGAUAUUCUCCCUGCUGUCACUAUCAGUAAAUUAUUAAACAGCUGACCAAGCUUUGUUUUAAAAUGAUUCUCUUAUGAAGCUCAGUGAUAUAUUUGCUAUGAAUACUGAAUGGUGCCGCGGUCUCUAAGGUCACGUGAAUGAUUCCUAUUUACUACCUUUAGCAAAAUGUGUGUGCAAUUAGCGGCAAGAACUUGACUUGAAUCACAGUUACUAGGGAUGCCUGUAGCUCAUUUACAUGGAGCUCCCUUUACUCAUUACACUCCUGCCCAGGAGAAGCGUGUUAAGAUUCUAGGCCAGGUCACGAAAUAGCAUAUAGACUUGUCUUUUGUCAUUCCUCACCUCCUUUCUUGUCUUGCCACUGCUGAGCCUUGACAUACCUGUGGGAAUCCUUUGUUUCAUGGAGCAGCGGGUUCUAAGUGAAUUUUUGCUUAAAGAAAAUAAACGUGAUUGAGAGAAAAUUA
ensembl:lncRNA PTPRT-DT PTPRT divergent transcript